GGGAACGUGCCCUUCGGUUCGGAAUAACUCAGGGAAACUUGAGCUAAUACCGGAUACGCCCUUUUGGGGAAAGGCUUGACUGCCGAAGGAUCGGCCCGCGUCUGAUUAGCUAGUUGGUGAGGUUACGGCUCACCAAGGCGACGAUCAGUAGCUGGUCUGAGAGGAUGAUCAGCCACACUGGGACUGAGACACGGCCCAGACUCCUACGGGAGGCAGCAGUGGGGAAUAUUGGACAAUGGGGGCAACCCUGAUCCAGCCAUGCCGCGUGAGUGAUGACGGCCUUAGGGUUGUAAAGCUCUUUUCUCCGGGACGAUAAUGACGGUACCGGAGGAAUAAGCCCCGGCUAACUUCGUGCCAGCAGCCGCGGUAAUACGAAGGGGGCUAGCGUUGCUCGGAAUCACUGGGCGUAAAGGGCGCGUAGGCGGCUGAUUUAGUCGAGGGUGAAAGCCCGUGGCUCAACCACGGAAUGGCCUUCGAUACUGGUUGGCUUGAGACCGGAAGAGGACAGCGGAACUGCGAGU
rnacentral:rRNA from 1 species